rnacentral:rRNA from 1 species
AUUGAACGCUGGCGGCAGGCCUAACACAUGCAAGUCGAACGAGUGGCGGACGGGUGAGUAAUGGAGGGGAAACUGCCUGAUGGAGGGGGAUAAGUACUGGAAACGGUAGCUAAUACCGCAUACCAUCAGAUGUGCCCAGAUGGGAUUAGGUGGUUGCUGGGGUAACGGCUCACCCAGGCGACGAUCCCUAGCUGGUCUGAGAGGGUGACCGGCCACACUGGAACUGAUACACGGUCCAGACUCCUACGGGAGUCAGCAGUGGGGAAUAUUGCACAAUGGGCGAAAGCCUGAUGCAGCCAUGCCGCGUGUAUGAAGAAGGCCUUCGGGUUGUAAAGUACUUUCUGCGGGGAGGCGUUACCCGCAGAAGAAGCACCGGCUAACUCCGUGCCAGCAGCCGCGGUAAUUC